rnacentral:rRNA from 1 species
UAGUGGCAAACGGGUGAAUAACACGUGGGUAACCUACCUCUAAGUUGGGGAUAACAGUUGGAAACGACUGAUAAUACCGAAUAAGCUCUACGGAGUAAAGAAGCCAUCAAGCUUCGCUAAGAGAUGGGCCUGCGGCGUAUUAGCUAGUUGGUGGGGUAAGAGCCUACCAAGGCGACGAUGCGUAGCCGAACUGAGAGGUUGAUCGGCCACACUGGGACUGAGACACGGCCCAGACUCCUACGGGAGACAGCAGUUAGGAAUAUUCGUCAAUGGGGGAAACCCUGAACGAGCAAUGCCGCGUGAAUGAAGAAGGCCCUAUGGGUUGUAAAAUUCUGUUGUAUGGAAAGAAAUGUAAAGUUAGGAAAUGAACUUUACUUGACGGUACCAUUCAAGAAAGUCACGGCUAACUACGUGCCAGCAGCCGCGGUAAUACGUAGGUGGCGAGCGUUAUCCGGAUUUAUUGGGCGUAAAGGGUGCGUAGGCGGUAUGUUAAGUAUAAAAUAAAAGCCCGAAGCUUAACUUCGGUUCGUUUUAUAAACUGGCAAACUAGAGAACAGAAGAGGACGGCGGAACUCCAUGUGUAGCGGUAAAAUGCGUAGAUAUAUGGAAGAACACCAGUGGCGAAGGCGGCCGUCUGGUCUGUUGCUGACACUGAAGCACGAAAGCGUGGGGAGCAAAUAGGAUUAGAUACCCUAGUAGUCCACGCCGUAAACGAUGAGAACUAGGUGUUGGGGGAAUAACUCAGUGCCGCAGUUAACGCAAUAAGUUCUCCGCCUGGGGAGUAUGCACGCAAGUGUGAAACUCAAAGGAAUUGACGGGGGCCCGCACAAGCGGUGGAGUAUGUGGUUUAAUUCGAAGCAACGCGAAGAACCUUACCAGGCCUUGACAUCCCUUGCAGAGGUAUAGAGAUAUAUCCGAGGUUAUCAAGGAGACAGGUGGUGCAUGGUUGUCGUCAGCUCGUGUCGUGAGAUGUUGGGUUAAGUCCCGCAACGAGCGCAACCCUUGUGAUAUGUUACUAACAUUGAGUUGAGGACUCAUAUCAGACUGCCGGUGAUAAACCGGAGGAAGGUGGGGAUGACGUCAAAUCAUCAUGCCCCUUAUGGCCUGGGCUACACACGUACUACAAUGGCGUCUACAAAGAGCGGCAAGCCUGUGAAGGCAAGCGAAUCUCAUAAAGGACGUCUCAGUUCGGAUUGAAGUCUGCAACCCGACUUCAUGAAGCUGGAAUCGCUAGUAAUCGCGAAUCAGCAUGUCGCGGUGAAUACGUUCUCGGGCCUUGCACACACCGCCCGUCAA